CUAUAUUUUUACACGUAAGGCAUAUUAUUUGAAAGACUUCUGUCACAUCUAUAUUGUGUUGUAAACUUAUACUGAAACAAACCUAACAAUAUAAUCUUUUUUAGGAAUUGUUAAAUUACCCAACGUUUUUCGUGAUGUUUUAUACUAACAAUAUUAUUAAAGCUCAUAUCGCUUCUUCAAUUGCAUUUNGGCGGCAAUGCUUUUAAUAGAUGAGAGACGGUCAGGUUUAAUCGAUUGUUUAACUUUUCUCAAAAUAUAGAUUUGCGAAUGUCGAUUGUUUCCAGUCUGUAAUGUUUCAUGGUUUCUAGAGAAUUCUCUAUCAACAUACAGUACUUUUCUUUAUGAAUUUGUUUGAUGUCGAUGACGUAAUGUAUUGUGAUCAUCUGCUUAUUGCGGAAUGCCAAUUUACUAUAUUUUUACACGUAGGGCAUAUUAUUUGAACAACUUCUGUCACAUCUAACUUGUGUAGUAGAUUUAUAUUG